GACGAACGCUGGCGGCGUGCUUAACACAUGCAAGUCGAACGGAAAGGCCCUGCUUUUGUGGGGUGCUCGAGUGGCGAACGGGUGAGUAACACGUGAGUAACCUGCCCUUGACUUUGGGAUAACUUCAGGAAACUGGGGCUAAUACCGGAUAGGAGCUCCUGCUGCAUGGUGGGGGAUGGAAAGUUUCGGCGGUUGGGGAUGGACUCGCGGCUUAUCAGCUUGUUGGUGGGGUAGUGGCUUACCAAGGCUUUGACGGGUAGCCGGCCUGAGAGGGUGACCGGCCACAUUGGGACUGAGAUACGGCCCAGACUCCUACGGGAGGCAGCAGUGGGGAAUAUUGCACAAUGGGCGGAAGCCUGAUGCAGCAACGCCGCGUGCUGGAUGACUGCCUUCGGGUUGUAAACCGCUUUCGCCUGUGACGAAGCGUGAGUGACGGUAAUGGGUAAAGAAGCACCGGCUAACUACGUG
rnacentral:rRNA from 1 species